rnacentral:rRNA from 1 species
AGUCACUGACAUUAGAUACCCCCCGUAGUCCAGGGUGUAAACGCUGCAGACUUGGUGUUGGAAGUCCUUUGGGGGCAUUCAGUGCCGGAGAGAAGUUGUUAAGUCUGCUACUUGGGAAGUACGGUCGCAAGGCUGAAACUUAAAGGAAUUGGCGGGGGAGCACCGCAACGGGAGGAGCGUGCGGUUUAAUUGGAUUCAACACCGUAAAACUCACCAGGGAAGACUGUUACAUGAAGGCCGAGAUGAAGACUCUGCUAGAUUUUCAG